UCGCCCACACCCAUUGUCCACGUCAAUCUGAUUUUGGUGUGGAGGUUUUGCACACAUAUCAAGGUUUGGUCGACCAGCCUUAACCUCUCUUGGACAAGGAUAAAAUUUGGUUUGAUCUGAAUUCAAAUUUGAUUUGAAUUCAAAUUUAAACUGGGUUGUUAUCUAGUGGUUGUUUGCUCUCAUCCAAACCUUGUCGUCACUCUUUAAAAGGACCCCC
rnacentral:lncRNA from 1 species